CGAGAGCUGAAACGAAACGGUCGUCGUCGUCCGUUCCUUUUAGCAGCGAUCUCCCACCACCGGCCAUUGCUAGAAGGCUCCCCGGUUCCAAUCUCCCUUCGAGGCUUCGCCGGAGUCGGGCUAUGGAUCGCUCCAGCGAUCGCCUCCCGAUCCGAGGCGGGGAGACCCUUGCGAGCGCCAUGAAGCAAGAACGCCGCGGGAGAUCCCAUCCCCCCAAAUCAUCCUCGUCGUCGAUUUCCCAGUCGAGCAGAGCACCACUCAUCAUGGGUUUCUUAUCUUGCCUCGCCUGGCUCUACGUCGCGGGCCGAUUGUGGCAAGAUUCGGGGAACCGGUUGCUGUUGUCAGAGCUUCUUCAGAAGAAUACGGGCAAUAUGCCAAAGGUCCUUACUGUUGAAGAUAAACUGAUGAAUCUCGGAUGCAAUGAAGUUGCAAGAAAGUCAGUGGAGGCUGAGAUGGACUUGACUUUGGCAAAGAGUCAGGGAUUUUUGGCGGGGAACACAUCUUCUUCUACGAAGCUUCUUGCCGUUAUUGGUGUUUAUACAGGAUUUGGGAGCCGCCUCAAGCGAAAUGUAUUCAGAGGUUCUUGGAUGCCUAGAGGUGAUGCAUUAAAGAAACUUGAGGAUAGAGGCGUGGUUAUUCGAUUUGUAAUUGGUCGAAGUCCUAAUCGAGGCGAUAGCUUGGAUCGUAACAUUGAUGAGGAAAAUCAUCAAACUAAGGACUUCUUGAUUCUUGAAAGCCACGAAGAAGCUGCAGAAGAGUUACCUAAGAAAGCUAAAUAUUUCUUCAGUGCUGCUGUUGAAUCUUGGAAUGCUGAGUUCUAUGUUAAAGUUGAUGAUAAUAUUAAUCUUGACAUAGAUGGUCUCAUUGAGAUUCUCGACAGUCGCCGUGGUGGUCAUGGCUUGUACAUAGGUUGCAUGAAAUCUGGUUCUGUCAUAAGUGAAGAGGGACAACAAUGGUAUGAGCCAGAGUGGUGGAAAUUUGGAGAUGGAAAGUCGUAUUUCCGUCAUGCUGCAGGUUCGCUCAUAAUUUUAUCAAAUAACUUAGCCCAAUACAUCAAUAUAAACAGUGCUUCACUCCAGACUUACGCUUACGACGAUACAUCAGUAGGUUCCUGGAUGAUGGGUCUUGAUGCAACUUACGUAGAUAAUGAUCGUCUUUGUUGUAGCAGUUCUAGACAGGAAAAAGUGUGUUCAGUAGCUUGAGCAAAAGGAAGUACGGGAUUCAUAAUUCCAUUGUUAGUGGACCCAGAGUUCGCAUUUGAUUGACAACAGGAGCUCGAGAAUACAAUUCUUAAUGAUUUUCCAGAGAGCCUUCUUGAUCAAAAGGUUCAGAAUUGGUUGUAAUCUAAAAGAUGAUACUUGAAUUGAUGCUUGUUGUACAUCAUAUGCUUCUCCAGAUACUGCUCUACAUUCACUAGUUUUGUAGAUAACAAGACGCAAUAAGUACAGCAACUAAAGAAUGGAGCAGAUGUUGACUCCAAUAGCAGCUACCUAGGAGAAAUUGCAAUUCAAACUUGCAUCACAUAGCCACAACACGGUGCAGAGUCCAGGGAAUGGUCUAUUAUACACAAUCUUACUUACCUUGCAAAACUCUUUCUGUAACUCAAACUAAUGAUCUCCGGAUCACACGGUGGUGGCAGCUUUAAUGUUUGCCAAAGUUCUGAUACCAUAUUAAAAUUAAAAUAAAAUAAAAAUAAAACAA